AUUGAACGCUGGCGGCAUGCUUUACACAUGCAAGUCGAACGGCAGCGCGGGGCAACCUGGCGGCGAGUGGCGGACGGGUGAGUAAUAUAUCGGAACGUACCCAAGAGUGGGGGAUAACGUAGCGAAAGUUACGCUAAUACCGCAUACGAUCUAAGGAUGAAAGUGGGGGAUCGCAAGACCUCAUGCUCCUGGAGCGGCCGAUAUCUGAUUAGCUAGUUGGUGAGGUAAAGGCUCACCAAGGCGACGAUCAGUAGCUGGUCUGAGAGGAGGACCAGCCACACUGGAACUGAGACACGGUCCAGACUCCUACGGGAGGCAGCAGUGGGGAAUUUUGGACAAUGGGCGCAAGCAUGAUCCAGCAAUGCCGCGUGAGUGAAGAAGGCCUUCGGGUUGUAAAGCUCUUUUGUCAGGGAAGAAACGGUAGAGGCUAAUAUCCUGUGCUAAUGACGGUACCUGAAGAAUAAGCACCGGCUAACUACGUG
rnacentral:rRNA from 1 species